rnacentral:lncRNA from 1 species
CCAACCCCAGCCCAGCUUCAACCUCUGUCUCAGCCCCUGUGUCACCACCAAGCCCAAUGUCACCAACUCAGCCCAACUCAGGCUGACCCUGACCCCAAUCCAAGCUCCAGGUAAGCCAACCUCACAGGAAGGGGAAAUUCCCACCGCAUCAGAAGCUUGGCUUUCCUUCCUCAGUGAUUCCAGGAGCCCAGAGUGAAAAGAGGCAGCUGAGGUUAGGGUAAUGGGAGGAUCUGAGGGCAGGUGGAAUUGGGGAUGUUGUGGAGGAAAAUCUGGGGCAGGUGGGGUGGGUGUUGAUGGGGAGGGUCUGGAGAACCACUGAGGCUGGAGGUGGGAAGAGUCCUGUCCUGGCAUCAUCUCACCCCGCAAUUCAGGGCUGGCCACAGGGAAGACACCGAAGAGCUUUUCAUGGACUUCCUGCAAACGCUGCUGGUGGGGUCCACGGAGGAGCUCUAUGAGGGCCCCUGAGCAGGUACAACAUCAGUGCAGAAGCCAAGGCGGCGAUGGAAGAGCUCAAGUCCUGCAUAGACGGCCUACAGCCCGUGCACAAGGCGGAGCUGGUCAAGCUGCUGGUGCAAGUGCUGGGCGGUCAGGACGAUGCCUAGUGGACCCCAGAUGUGGCUCCAAGCAGCCAUGGGACCAGCUACACAAGCAGCCAUGAUGACAGCACCCUACCACUUCCAUAUGCAUGAAUUUAUCCUCAAGUCGUCCAAUCAAUAAAGCCUCCUGUAGCUCAGGCUCUGGCCCUCUCUCCCCACCCUCAGGGACACUACAGACUCCCAUACACAGGGUCAUGUGAGUGGAGCACACAUGUAAGUAACCCCACAUAGAGGGCAGACCCACCAACCAAAGUCCAGGCAGACUCCCUUGUAAGGAAGUAGACAAAGCAAGCCAGCGUGUAGGCAGACAUGUAGAUGCAGGAGGCAUUGGACACAAGAAGCUCUGCAGAGGCAGACGAGGGGCAGGGACAGGGGCAGGGGCUCAGAGCAAGGAGCGGCAGAGAGCCCCAGAGAGAGGCAGUGGCCAGGGCUGAGGUACAGGCUGGGUGGGGGCGCUCUCGUCUGAAGGUUACCAUUUUGAGACAAUAAAU